rnacentral:misc_RNA from 1 species
GUGAAUCAUCGAAUCUUUGAACGCAAAUUGCACUCUCUUCGGAGAGUAUGCCUGUUUGAGGGUCAGUAUUAAUAAAAAUCGGUGUGUUGCUUCUUUGUGACGAUCGGUAUUUUGGUUCUUCUUAAUAUCCUUUAGGUUUUAAGUGGCUGAAAAUUGACUUUUUUUUCGCAUUUUAGAUGUACAUAAAUUCUUUUUUUAUUCGUCUGUCUUCAUCCUCAAAAU